rnacentral:rRNA from 1 species
GACAGAGGGUGCAAACGUUGUUCGGAAUUACUGGGCGUAAAGCGCGCGUAGGCGGUCGGGCAAGUCGGAUGGGAAAGCCCCGGGCUCAACCCGGGAAGUGCAUUCGAUACUGCUUGGCUAGAGUACUGGAGAGGAUGGUGGAACUCUCGGUGUAGAGGUGAAAUUCGUAGAUAUCGAGAAGAACACCGGCGGCGAAGGCGGCCAUCUGGACAGAUACUGACGCUGAGACGCGAAAGCGUGGGGAGCAAACAGG